rnacentral:lncRNA from 1 species
AUGCAUUUACAUUUCUAGAACUUGCAAUUUUUCUCUAAUAUCGAUUGAUCUUUGUCAUUAGCACACUGAGGCAAAAGUGUUUGGUCAUGUGAGCCUUUUUGAAGCCUACCCUGUUUAUAUUUGAAUAAUUAUCCUUUCUUUAGCCAAAUUGAGCCGGUAGGUUUAGAUCUUUUUUUUCGGAGACAAACUACGUUACAAGCUUAGAGACUU